CCGACUUUUGAGGGUCCAAAGGGGCUCUUCGGGUGAGUCUUUCCGGGAUCCACAGGGGAUUCUCUUCAUCCUGUGGAAAAACACAUAUCGCUCCCCUGGAUCUUAUGAGAAUAGGAUCCGGGCCUCUCCAAAGACCAGUUAAGAUAUCUUUUCAUUUUACCAUUUCCUUUGGCCUUUUAGGUUCUGAGAUGUGGCACUUGGCCGCAGUAUGGCCCUGAGCGUCGGUGUUUAGAAAAUUAAGGGUAAAGAGUGCCAUGGAUAUUGCAACUCUUGGCACCGAGGCGUGCCUGGUACCCAAAAUGGCCAGAAGAUGGCAUUGAGGCCUCUGGAACUGGAUUCAGAAGUUUGUGAACCACCCGUGGGUGCCGGCAAUCUAAGCCAGGUCCUCUGGAAGAGCAGAUGGUGCUCCUAACCACUGAGUCAUCUCUCCAGCCCCGUGUGUGAUUCUUAUUCCCAGUCUACAAAUAAGACAAUUUUUUUCUCUUUCCCUGGUAGAUUUUAGAAUCUUCUCUGUAUUUUUACCAUUCUGAAAUUUUACUAUGAGGAGCACAGGGUCAACUUUAUUUUUUCAUUCCUUACAUGAAAAGAAUUGACCAGACAAACAGCUGAAAUUCAAGGUGGUCCCAGUGCAAGUUUGUCUUACUUCCUCCAGAAAGCUGCAACAAAAUAUCAACGGAAGGGUUAAACACCAAAGAACUCACAGAUCUGGAGACUGGGAGUUCAAGGGUACCAGGAGGGCCUGCUUCCUGGUUCAUGGGUUGUUUUUUUCUUUCUGCUCCCUCACAUGGCAGAAGGAAGGAGAAAACUCUGGGACCUGUUUAAUCAGGUCUCCAAUUCCAUUUAUGAACAACCCCGAGAAGACCCACCUCCUGAUGCCAUACUCCAAGGAAUAGCUUCAGCAAGGGAACUUGGAGGACACCAAAGCAGGUGUGUUACUGUGACAGCCUCAGAGUCGCCUGGUAUAGAGAAGGAAAAAGGGAUAAGCAGGGAGACAUAUCUUGUGGGUGUCAGAACACCACCACUUUGACUACACAUCUGGGAGAUUUCUUCUAGGUUACAUUUCUGUUAAGUUUUCUCCCCUGGAAACUUUCCAAAGAGGCAUGAACUUUGGUGAUAAAUCUGAUAGAUGCCUAAAGAGCAUUUAUUCACAAUUUCAUCUUUUAGUCAUUUUAAAAUGACUAAACCUGCCAGUUUCAGUCAUUAAACUCUGAAGUUCAUUACUUCUGUCUUAAUAUUAAGCUUUUCGACUGUACAAGAAAAUGUGCUCCUGAUAGACAACCUUGUUGGGUCCCAUUGCCAUUCUAGUCAGGGGAGGGGCAUUCCCUUUUGUGGAUGCUCUUUUCAGUGUUCUUCAUUAUCGUGAGGAAUCAGUGAUAAGGCUAAACUGUUAUGUUGGUCCAAGUACAAAUGCUCUAAGUGGGCCUCCAUUCCCAUCAGUGGUGUCUUCCUCAGUGCCAUCACUAAGUGUCUUCACUCUCCAGCUGAGAAAUGUUCACUGGUUAAGAGUAUACCCUGCUCUUCAGGAGGGCUAGGGUGGGGUUCUUAGCACCUGUGUCAGAUGGUUCACUACUGCCUGUAACUCCAGCUCCGGGUACCCAAUGUCCUCUUUUGGCCUUUGCUGCAAGCACUGCACGUGUGCGUGCCCACACACACACACACACACACACACACACACACACACACACACACACAAUCUCAAGUCAAUUCUGUCAUAACAUCAGAAUUGUGCUGGUGGGUACAGUUUAAUAUCCAUGUACUGUUGGCACCCAGCCCCCAUGAGGUCUCUUAAGAGUUGUUUUCCAGCAUAACCACAGGUACCUCCUGUUUUCCUGACCUCACCCCACUGGGAUCAAUAUCCUGUUGUGAACCCUUUGACCUGGGGUUUUUGUAAGUUUGUAUAUAAGGCUGCUCCACAAUAAAGGUGAGAGACAUUCUCUCAGAAAAGGA
ensembl:lncRNA